AUGUGGGGCUGCGAUAUGUGGGGCUGUGAUGUGUGGGGCUGAGACGUGGAGGGCAGGGACAGACAGACGGACACGGAUGGGGACAGACGGACGGACACAGAUGGGGACAGAGAGGCACAGACAGAUGGGGACAGAUGGACACAGAUGGGGACAGACAGACGGACACGGAUGGGGACAGACGGACACAGACAGAUGGGGACAGACGGACACAGACAGAUGGGGACAGACAGACGGACACAGAUGGGGACAGACAGACGGAUGUGGAUGGGGACAGACAGACAGAUGGGGACGGACAGACGGACAUGGAUGGGGACAGAGAGGCACAGACAGAUGGGGACAGACGGACACGGAUGGGGACAGACAGACACGGAUGGGGACAGACAGAUGGACACAGAUGGGGACAGACAGACGGACACAGAUGAGGACAGACAGACGGACACGGAUGGGGACAGACAGACAGACACAGAUGGGGACAGACAGACGGACACAGAUGGGGACAGACAGACACAGAUGGGGACAGACAGACGGACACAGAUGGGGACAGACAGACGGACAUGGAUGGGGACAGACGGACACAGAUGGGGACAGACAGACACGGAUGGGGACAGACAGACACAGACAGAUGGGGACAGACAGACAGACAUGGGGACAGACGGACAGAUGGGGCCGGAUGGGGAUAAGGACAGACAGACGGACGUGGAGGGGGACAGACGGACAGACGGGGACAGGAACAGAUGGGGACAGACGGACAGAUGGGGCCAGAUGGGGAUAAGGACAGACAGACAGACAGACCGGGACAGACAGACAGACGUGGAGGGGGACAGACGGACAAACGGGGAGGGGGACAGAUGGGGACAGACGGACAGAUGGCGAUAAGGACAGACAGACGGACGUGGAGGAGGACAGACGGACACAGAUAGGGACAGAUGGACAUAUGGGGCCAGAUGGGGAUAAGGACAGACAGACAGACAACAGACAGACAGACGGACGUGCAGCGGGACAGACGGACAGACGGGGACCGGGACAGAUGGGGACAGACGGACAGACGGCGAUAAGGACAGACAGAUGGACAGGGAUGGGGACAGACAGACAGACGUGGAUGGGGACAGACGGCAUAGGGACAUACGGGGCCAGAUGGGGAUAAGGACAGACGGACGGACACGGAUGGGGACAGACGGACAGACGGGGACAGGGACAGAUGGGGACAGACGGACAGAUGGGGACAGAUGGGGAUAAGGACAGACAGACGGACAUGGAUGGGGACAGACGACAGUGGGGACAGAUGGGGAUAAGGACAGACAGACAGACAUGGAGGGGGACAGACGGACAGACGGGGACAGAUGGGGACAGAUGGGGAUAAGGACAGACAGACAGACAGACCGGGACAGACAGACGGACAUGGAGGGGGACAGACAGACAGACGGGGACAGAUGGGGAUAAGGACAGACGGACGGACGUGGGGAGAAGGGGACACAGAUGGGGACAGACAGACACAGACAGAUGGGGACAGAGAGGCACAGAUGGGGACAGACAGACGGACGUGGAUCGGGACAGACAGACGGACACGGAUGGGGACAGACAGACACAGACAGAUGGGGACAGACGGACGGACGUGGAUGGGGACAGACAGACACAGACAGAUGGGGACAGACAGACACAGAUGGGGACAGACAGACAGACACGAAUGGGGACAGACAGACAGACACAGAUGGGGACAGACAGACAGACACAGAGGGGGACAGACAGACAGAUGGGGACAGACAGACAGACGGACACGGAUGGGGACAGACAGACGGACAUGGAUGGGGACAGACGGACAGACGGGGCCGGAUGGGGAUAAGGACAGACAGACGGACGUGGAGGGGGACAGACGGACAUAUGGGGACAGAUGGGGAUCAGGACAGACAGACGGACACAGAUGGGGACAGCCGGCCAGGGGCAGGGAGGACAGAGGGACAGAUGGGGACAGAGGGACGGGGACGGACAGAGGGACAGAUGGGGACAGACGGACGGGGAUGGGGACGGCCUGCGGUGAUGGAUGGGGACAGACGGACGGGGACGGACGGACGGACGGACGGCGGCAGCUGCGGGGUUGGGGGGGGGAAUGGCUGAGUGCGGGGGGGCACUGCGGCCCCAUUCAGUCCCAUUCGUGGCCCCAUUCAGUCCCAUUCGUGGCCCUAUUGGUGGCCCCAUUCAGUCCCAUUGGUGGCCCUAUUGGUGGCCCUAUUGGUGGCCCCAUUGCUGUCCCCAUUCAGUCCCAUUGGUGGCCCCAUUGGUGGCCCCAUUGGUGGCCCCAUUCAGUCCCAUUGGUGGCCCCAUUGUUGGCCCCAUUCAGUCCCAUUGGUGGCCCUAUUGGUGGCCCUAUUGGUGGCCCAUUGCUGUCCCCAUUCAGUCCCAUUGGUGGCCCCAUUGGUGGCCC
ensembl:lncRNA